rnacentral:rRNA from 1 species
AUGUGCAAAGGCCAUCAGCUGGCCGAUGUUUCUGCAAUUAUCGGCACGAUGGACGUCGUGUUUGGGGAGAUUGACCGCUAAUGCUUCGCCGCCUUCACCCCAUUCAACCCGACAGCUUUGCCUUUACGCCUGAAAAUCUUGCUUGGGCGCGGGGCCAAAUUUCGAAAUAUCCCGAAGGGCGCCAGGCUUCGGCGAUCAUUCCACUUUUGUGGCGCGCUCAAGAGCAACAUGGCUGGCUGACCCGCCCUGCGAUUGAAUAUGUGGCCUCAAUGCUUGGGAUGGCCUAUAUUCGUGCUUUGGAAGUGGCCACAUUUUAUUUUAUGUUCCAACUGCCCCCGUGGGCUCGGUGGCGCAUAUCCAAAUUUGCGGCACCACUUCUUGCAUGAUUUGUGGGGCCGAGGCGCUGAUCGAGACCUGCCAAGAGCUGAUCGCCCCAAGGGCGCAUAUGCUGUCGGUGGAUGGUAAGUUUUCGUGGGAAGAGGUCGAAUGUCUGGGGGCGUGCACGAAUGCGCCCAUGGCCCAAAUUGGCAAAGAUUAUUAUGAAGAUCUGACCCCCACCAUUUUGCGUGAGUUGAUAGCGAAAUUCUCGUCCGGCGACGUGCCGCGCCCGGGUCCGCAAAACGGACGUUUUGCAUCCGAGCCAAAAUCAGGUCUGACCAGUCUUGAAGAUUUUGCAACAGGCGGUGGGCAGUUCAAUGGCUCGGUUUCUUUGGCUUUGGCAAUUGGCGAUACGGUCAAGCGGAUCGAUGGCAGCGAAGUGCCGCUGUUGACCCCUUGGUUGGGUAAAGCGAGCCCGAAUGCUGCACCAAAAACUGCGGCCCAAAAGCCCGACGCCGAAUGAAGCGGAACAGAAAGAACAUUAUGACCAACUCGAAUGCAUACGCACUGGCCAAACAAGCCCGCCUUUCCGCAGUUGUUAUGGUGGUGACCAUGGGGCUUUGGCUGGCAAUGCAAUGGCUUGGCGGGCAGAUGGGGUGGGACACUCGGUUUGUAUUUUUGUUCGACAUGGCGGCGAUCGCCGCCUUUGUUUGGACACUAAACAUCUCUUGGCGACUAUGGCGUAGGCGCAACGCCGAUCACAGUUCGAAUUGAGGGCAAAACAUGCUGGCAGAUAAAGACCGGAUCUUUACCAACCUUUACGGGAUGCAUGAUCGCAGCCUGGCAGGCGCUAAAAAGCGCGGCCAUUGGAGCGGGACCGCAGGCUUUAUCAAGAAUGGCCGCGACUGGAUUGUCGAGCAAACCAAAGCCUCGGGGCUGCGUGGGCGCGGUGGCGCUGGGUUUCCAACGGGUUUGAAAUGGUCAUUCAUGCCCAAAGCCUCGGCCUCAAUUUAAUGCGAUGUGGGGACGGAGAAGGUUAGGUCAGCCAGGUGUUGGAUAUCCUGGUUCAAGCGUGUAGGUAGAUUCUUUAGGCAAAUCCGGAGAGUCAAUACUGAGGCGUGAUAACGAAGUGAACUCUGUUCAUGAAGUGAUUGAUACCAUGCUUCCAAGAAAAGCCACUAAGCUUCAGUUAAGUUGAGACCGUACCGCAAACCGACACAGGUGGGCAGGAUGAGAAUUCUAAGGCGCUUGAGAGAACUCUGGAGAAGGAACUCGGCAAAUUUGUACCGUAACUUCGGGAUAAGGUACGCCCCUGUAGGUUGUAGCAAUUUACUUGCGAAGGCCGAAGGGGUUGCAGUGAAAAGGUGGCUGCGACUGUUUAAUAAAAACACAGCACUGUGCUAACACGAAAGUGGAUGUAUACGGUGUGACGCCUGCCCGGUGCUCGAAGGUUAAAUGAUGGGGUGCAAGCUCUUGAUUGAAGCCCGAGUAAACGGCGGCCGUAACUAUAACGGUCCUAAGGUAGCGAAAUUCCUUGUCGGGUAAGUUCCGACCCGCACGAAUGGCGUAACGAUGGCCACACUGUCUCCUCUAGAGACUCAGCGAAGUUGAAAUGGUUGUGAAGAUGCAAUCUACCCGCGGUUAGACGGAAAGACCCCAUGCACCUUUACUAUAGCUUUACAUUGGACUUUGACAUCAUCUGUGUAGGAUAGGUGGGAGACUUUGAAGCAGGAUCGCUAGAUCUUGUGGAGUCACCCUUGAAAUACCACCCUGAUGUUGUUGAGGUUCUAACCUAGACCCCUUAUCGGGGCCAGGGACCGUGUAUGGUGGGUAGUUUGACUGGGGCGGUCUCCUCCCAAAGAGUAACGGAGGAGCGCGAAGGUACCCUCAGCAUGGUCGGAAAUCAUGCAAUGAGUGCAAUGGCAUAAGGGUGCUUGACUGCGAGACGGACAUGUCGAGCAGGUACGAAAGUAGGUCAUAGUGAUCCGGUGGUUCUGUAUGGAAGGGCCAUCGCUCAACGGAUAAAAGGUAC